CGUGGUUGAUAGGUCAGAGGUGGAAGUGCAGCAAUGUAUGCAGCUUACUGAUACUAAUAGGUCGAGGACUUGACCAAUAUA
rnacentral:rRNA from 1 species